ACGGAAGGCAGCAGUGGGGAAUAUUGCACAAUGGGGGAAACCCUGAUGCAGCGACGCCGCGUGAGUGAAGAAGUAUUUCGGUAUGUAAAGCUCUAUCAGCAGGGAAGAAAAUGACGGUACCUGACUAAGAAGCCCCGGCUAACUACGUGCCAGCAGCCGCGGUAAUACGUAGGGGGCAAGCGUUAUCCGGAUUUACUGGGUGUAAAGGGAGCGCAGACGGCGAUGUAAGUCUGAAGUGAAAGCCCGCGGCUCAACUGCGGGACUGCUUUGGAACUAUAUUGCUUGAGUGUCGGAGGGGCAAGCGGAAUUCCAUGUGUAGCGGUGAAAUGCGUAGAUAUAUGGAAGAACACCGGUGGCGAAGGCGGCUUGCUGGACGAUAACUGACGUUGAGGCUCGAAGGCGUGGGGAGCAAACAGGAUUAGAUACCCUGGUA
rnacentral:rRNA from 1 species